CGAACGAGAGAUGAGGAGCUUGCUCUUCAAAUCGAGUGGCGAACGGGUGAGUUACGCGUGAGGAACCUGCCUCAAAGAGGGGGACAACAGUUGGAAACGACUGCUAAUACCGCAUAAGCCCACGGCUCGGCAUCGAGCAGAGGGAAAAGGAGCAAUCCGCUUUGAGAUGGCCUCGCGUCCGAUUAGCUAGUUGGUGAGGUAACGGCCCACCAAGGCGACGAUCGGUAGCCGGACUGAGAGGUUGAACGGCCACAUUGGGACUGAGACACGGCCCAGACUCCUACGGGAGGCAGCAGUGGGGAAUAUUGCACAAUGGGGGAAACCCUGAUGCAGCGACGCCGCGUGGAGGAAGAAGGUCUUCGGAUUGUAAACUCCUGUUGUUGAGGAAGAUAAUGACGGUACUCAACAAGGAAGUGACGGCUAACUACGUGCCAGCAGCCGCGGUAAAACGUAGGUCACAAGCGUUGUCCGGAAUUACUGGGUGUAAAGGGAGCGCAGGCGGGAGAACAAGUUGGAAGUGAAAUCCAUGGGCUCAACCCAUGAACUGCUUUCAAAACUGUUUUUCUUGAGUAGUGCAGAGGUAGGCGGAAUUCCCGGUGUAGCGGUGGAAUGCGUAGAUAUCGGGAGGAACACCAGUGGCGAAGGCGGCCUACUGGGCACCAACUGACGCUGAGGCUCGAAAGUGUGGGUAGCAAACAGGAUUAGAUACCCUGGUAGUCCACACCGUAAACGAUGAUUACUAGGUGUUGGA
rnacentral:rRNA from 1 species